AUCCUUUUCUCUCUGAGGCCAGCUGACGUCGGUUUCGGCUGACACUUACAGAUGGGCCCGCGGCGCAUUAGCUAGUUGGUGAGGUAACGGCUCACCAAGGCGACGAUGCGUAGCCGACCUGAGAGGGUGAUCGGCCACACUGGGACUGAGACACGGCCCAGACUCCUACGGGAGGCAGCAGUAGGGAAUCUUCCACAAUGGACGAAAGUCUGAUGGAGCAACGCCGCGUGAGCGAUGAAGGCCUUCGGGUCGUAAAGCUCUGUUGUUAGGGAAGAACAAGUACCGGAGAACUGCCGGUACCUUGACGGUACCUAUCAAAAGCCACGGCUAACUACCUGCCAGGGCCGGGUAUCCUAGUGGCAAGAGUUUCCGAAUUUUGGGCGUAAGCGCGGCCGGCGUCCUUAAUCUGAUGCAAAGCCACGCUCACCGUGGAGG
rnacentral:rRNA from 1 species